rnacentral:rRNA from 1 species
ACUCAAAGGAAUAGACGGGGACCCGCACAAGCGGUGGAGCAUGUGGUUUAAUUCGAAGAUACGCGAAGAACCUUACCGAGGCUUGACAUCCCAGGAAGGUGCUGGAAACAGUGCCGUGCCUUCGGGAACCUGGUGACAGGUGUUGCAUGGCCGUCGUCAGCUCGUGUCGUGAGAUGUUGGGUUAAGUCCCGCAACGAGCGCAACCCUUAUUGUCUGUUGUAUUUUUCAGGCGAGACUGCCCCGGCCAACGGGGAGGAAGGUGGGGACGACGUCAGGUCAGCAUGGCCCUUACGCCUCGGGCUACACACGUGCUACAAUGGCCGGCACAACGCGUCGCGAAGUCGUAAGAUGGAGCUAAUCGCAGCAAAACUGGUCUCAGUUCGGAUAGAGGGCUGCAACUCGCCCUCUUGAAGUCGGAAUCGCUAGUAACCGUAGGUCAGCAUACUACGGUGAAUACGUUCCCGGGUCUUGUACACACCGCCCGU